AGCUUAUUGGUUACUACAUCACAUUUUGCCGCGCGGCAAGCGUUUCCGCGUCCAGUGUGCAGGAGCCAUUAGUAACAUGUAUUGUCAUUAGAAAACCAAGUUUACACAAUCCUCGACUGAGUACAGAAUUUAUAUUCUGUAACUGUUUUCACGCCUAUCGAUAGUUGUCGAUGUCAUUGCGCAGCUUUUACACUAUAUAAAAUAUCUGCGCAACGACACCGACAACGGUCGGUAGAUAAAGAUAGUUAUGGAAUCAUGUUCCUGAUGAUUGAGCGUUGUGUCGACGAUAACGGACAAUUGGAAUGCAACUUGUGUCGCAGUGUGCAGGAAAGUGUCUAAGGAUAUUGCAAUUGGAAAGCACUCAAUAUGUCUGAAAAAUUCGCGGAAUGAUAUUUUUCUUAUGAGACAAAUCGCCCCAUCUAACGGCCGACGUUAGAAAUAGUUUCUAAGAACUUCAUGCAGAAUAUGUGCGAGUUAUAUUAAUAUCGAUUGAAUACUUGGCAAGUGAAGAUGUGUUUUGAUUUAUGUGUUUAAGUGUGUCGUUCAAAUUUUACGAUGAAGCAAUGAGCGUGUAUCAAAUUUUGUUUCAAACUUGGCAAAACUGCAAUGGAAACUCAUGAAAUGAUGAAAACAGCGUUCAGAAAGGAUGCACCGUUACGCACAGUAACAUUCGACUGGUUUAAACGUUUUAAGGAAGGCUGGCAGUCACUGGAUGACGACGCGAGAAGUGAUCGACCGCCAACGGUUCGAAAUGAGAAAGUUGUGGAAGCUGUGCGUUCUUUAUUAACCCUCGUCUGACACUUCGUGCGAUAUCUGAACAGGUAAAAAUCGGUAAAGACACUAUUUCUACCAUCAUUCAUGGGGAUUUGAACCGUAGAAAAAUUUGUGCGCGCUUUGUUCCACAUUUUUUAACUUCAAAACAGUAAGAAAUGCGUGUGAAUUGUCAUGACUUUGUUGAAACGGAUCCAAAUAAGGAUCCAGAUUUCAUAAAAGUUAUUGUUACUGAUGACAAGACAUGGUGUUUCAUAUACGAUCCGCAAACAAAGAAACAGACACAAGACACAAGACAUCUGCAUAACCUUUAAUGAAGCGAGAUCAACGAAAGUUCGCCAACAAAAAUAAAAAAAUGAAGACAAUGCUCAUGCUAUUUUUUCUGCAGGAUUGAUUUAUGAAUUUGUGUUACUUGGCCAAAUCAUUAAUUCGAUAUUUUAUUUAGAGGUUUUGAAACACCUUCUGAAUCGAAUGAGACAUAUCAGACCUCUGUAGGAAGAAUGGAUGCAACAUGAUUUAUAGAUGUUACAGAAAAAAAAUUGAAAAUUCCCUUUAAAUGCAAAUACAAGAAGAAGGAAACGUGGUCAUAACCUAACGAAGACGAAGAAGAAAAGAAAAUCGUUCGUGAGAUCGCUUAGCGGAUGCGUGUUUGUCUCCAAAAUUGGCGGGAACUGGGAGCCAUAUUGGAUUAAGAACAAGAAAAAGACCUUUGUGCUUAAAAAUUCUUUGUAUCGUAACUAUUCUAGUAUAGUCUAUCAUAGAACGCAAGGUUUAUUAUAAUACAUAAUUGGUAAACGAUACAAGUGUGUGAAAUUUGUAAACCAUUUAUCGGAUGCAGAAUGCUUACGCCAAGCUUUGGCCAAAGUCUGUGCCUCGGACAACAUUCUCGACAAUAUAAUAAAGGAAAAAGGAAUUGUAUUGCAAAAAGCUAUUCCAGGGAAAAGUAGGCUUUGCGACAUUGAAGAAGAAGAAAUUUCUACUGAAAGUGAUAUUACAGUCUUAUUGAUAGAACUUAACUCUGCUUUUUCAACAUCUCUUCCUGUUGUUACUACAAGUAGUACAAUGAUUUGUACACAGAAUUUAGAAUCUGAACAUAUUAUGGAGAUGGAUAUCAACGAUAUUCCUUUUAUUAUUCAGGAACAGGUAGAUGCAAACAAUUUAACAUUAAAACUGAUGUACAGGUUCUGUUUGAAUUCUGCACUAAUAUAAAAAAAUGGAAGGAGGAAGAAGCUACAGAAGUCUUCAUUACAAAAGUAAAGUAUUAUGAUUGAAGUCCUAAUACAGCAUUUUGGCAUUGAACAGAAUGAAUUAGGCGAUUCACCUCGAUUAGUUUUGUUCACAAUGGAGGAAGGUAUUGCUGCAGCCUAUAUUGUCACAGAUGAGAUUAGAAUGAAAAUUUUUCAGCCAUCUGUUUGCAAAUCAGUAGCUUGUUUAUUGGCUUCAUAUUAUGUUUGGGAUACAAAGUACUCCAAUGCAUACAAAAACACAAUGGAAUACAUUGAUCAUGAAGUGAUGGGAACAAUAAUAAAGGAAAAUCCAGCUAUAGACAAAUUCAUCAGGGAUCGUAUCCGUCCUUAAGAGUAUAAUGUAUCGAUACGUGAUCUAGUAAAAUUAUGUGAAAAUUA